CAACUGUCACAACGGCUUCCUGACGUGACAGUUUUGCACAUAAUGGAGCA
rfam:Confluentimicrobium lipolyticum strain CECT 8621 genome assembly, contig: 0002